AGUGUAGUGAAGUGAAGUGGGGAGGACUAUGGAGUGAGGCUGAGAGCAGUCGUUAAGAAGGGGCUGCGGGUCCACAUAGAGGCGAAGGUCGGAUGCAAACGGGGAUCAGGGCUGGGCCUGGGAAGGCGACAGGAACACCGCUCAAGAGGCGAUCCAAUGGCGGGAACAGAGAUGCUCCAGCAGGAUCCGCCCAAAGCUCUCUGCCAGGCGCUAGGUGGUCCGGGGUGAAUCACCAGCCCUGCCCACAGCGAGCUUGCACUCUAGUGGUCAAGACAGCCUUGUCGACCACCAGGCGUAACACAAAGCAAAUGCAGCCCGCGUAGAACCAGAGGCGCCAAUGCAGUGCGGUGGGAUAGUCAAAGCGACCACGGAAAUAAGGAGAAUUUCCUUUUAUUGAACGCCUACUAUGUGCCCAUUAUCCUUAAUUCUCACAACAAUUUUGCAAGCAACACCCGGGGCAGUUGUCACCUCCUCUGAGAAGGCUUCUCCAGCUCCUACAGUCAGAAAGGUUGUGCCUUCUCUGUGCUCGGGGCUGCCUGUGGAGUGUCUGUAUUCCUGUGACUGCAAAUACUGUGCUCCAGUGUCAGCGUCCCUCUCCUCGGGAGACAGUGAACACUCCUGUGAAUGAGACACGGUCUCACCAUCCUAUGUCUAUGCCAACCCUUAGCCCUGUGCUUGGCUUAUUAUUGGCACUUAAUAAU